GACGAACGCUGGCGGCGUGCUUAACACAUGCAAGUCGAACGGAAAGGCCCUGCUUUUGUGGGGUGCUCGAGUGGCGAACGGGUGAGUAACACGUGAGUAACCUGCCCUUGACUUUGGGAUAACUUCAGGAAACUGGGGCUAAUACCGGAUAGGAGCUCCUGCUGCAUGGUGGGGGUUGGAAAGUUUCGGCGGUUGGGGAUGGACUCGCGGCUUAUCAGCUUGUUGGUGGGGUAGUGGCUUACCAAGGCUUUGACGGGUAGCCGGCCUGAGAGGGUGACCGGCCACAUUGGGACUGAGAUACGGCCCAGACUCCUACGGGAGGCAGCAGUGGGGAAUAUUGCACAAUGGGCGGAAGCCUGAUGCAGCAACGCCGCGUGCGGGAUGACGGCCUUCGGGUUGUAAACCGCUUUCGCUUGUGACGAAGCGUGAGUGGCGGUAAUGGGUAAAGAAGCACCGGCUAACUACGUG
rnacentral:rRNA from 1 species